rnacentral:rRNA from 1 species
UACGUAGGUGACAAGCGUUGUCCGGAUUUACUGGGCGUAAAGAGCGCGCAGGCGGUCGUUCAAGUCGAGUGUGAAAGCCCCCGGCUCAACUGGGGAGGGUCAUUCGAUACUGAUCGACUCGAAGGCAGAAGAGGGAAGUGGAAUUCCCGGUGUAGUGGUGAAAUGCGUAGAUAUCGGGAGGAACACCAGUGGCGAAGGCGACUUCCUGGCCUGUUCUUGACGCUGAGGCGCGAAAGCUAGGGGAGCAAACGGG